CAGUAGCCGCGGGAAUACCGAGGGUGCAAGCGUUAAUCGGAAUUACUGGGCGUAAAGCGCGCGUAGGUGGUUUGUUAAGUUGGAUGUGAAAUCCCCGGGCUCAACCUGGGAACUGCAUCCAAAACUGGCAAGCUAGGGUAUGGUAGAGGGUGGUGGAAUUUCCUGUGUAGCGGUGAAAUGCGUAGAUAUAGGAAGGAACACCAGUGGCGAAGGCGACCACCUGGACUGAUACUGACACUGAGGUGCGAAAGCGUGGGGAGCAAACAGGAUUAGAUACCCCUGUAGUCCCUGUCUCUUAUAC
rnacentral:rRNA from 1 species